rnacentral:tRNA from 1 species
CGCGGGAUAGAGCAGGGGUAGCUCACUUGGCUCAUAACCAGGAGGUCGUCGGUUCGAGUCCGACUCCCGCCACCA